rnacentral:rRNA from 1 species
UGAACGCUAGCGACAGGCCUAACACAUGCAAGUCAGGGGCAGCACAAGGAGCAAUCUGAGGUGGCGACCGGCGCACGGGUGAGUAACACGUAUGCAACCUGCCUGUAAGCGGGGAAUAACCCGUUGAAAGACGGACUAAUACCGCAUAAUACUAAAUUACUGCAUGGUAAUUUAUUUAAACAUUUAUGGCUUACAGAUGGGCAUGCGCAUGAUUAGCUAGUUGGAGAGGUAACGGCUCCCCAAGGCAACGAUCAUUAGGGGUUCUGAGAGGAAGGUCCCCACACUGGUACUGAGACACGGACCAGACUCCUACGGGAGGCAGCAGUGAGGAAUAUUGGUCAAUGGACGAGAGUCUGAACCAGCCAAGUCGCGUGCAGGAAGAAUGUCCUAUUGGAUUGUAAACUGCUUUUGCAGGGGAAUAAAGUGCAUCACGUGUGAUGUUUUGUAUGUACUCUGCGAAUAAGGAUCGGCUAACUCCGUGCCAGCAGCAGC